rnacentral:sRNA from 1 species
UCGUCGAUCUGCUGGGGGCAGAUCCAGUGGAUAUGCGCGUCGAACCCGCCCGCCGUCAGGAUCUUGCCCUCGCCUGCGAUCACCUCCGUCCCCGGGCCGAUCACGAUAUCGACGGCGGGCUGGGUGUCGGGGUUGCCGGCCUUGCCGAUGGUCUCGAUCCUGCCGUCCUUCAGGCCCACGUCGGCCUUGUAGAUGCCGGUCACGUCGACGAUCAGCGCGUUGGUGAUGACCGUGUCGACGGCGCCCUCGGCGCGGGUCGCCUGGCUCUGACCCAUCCCGUCGCGG